rnacentral:rRNA from 1 species
AGUGAACGCUGGCGGCAGGCCUAACACAUGCAAGUCGAACGGCAGCACAAGAGAGCUUGCUCUCUGGGUGGCGAGUGGCGGACGGGUGAGGAAAACGUCGGAAUCUGCCUAUUUGUGGGGGAUAACGUAGGGAAACUUACGCUAAUACCGCAUACGACCUACGGGUGAAAGUGGAGGACCUUCGGGCUUCACGCAGAUAGAUGAGCCGACGUCGGAUUAGCUAGUUGGCGGGGUAAAGGCCCACCAAGGCGACGAUCCGUAGCUGGUCUGAGAGGAUGAUCGGCCACACUGGAACUGAGACACGGUCCAGACUCCUACGGGAGGCAGCAGUGGGGAAUAUUGGACAAUGGGCGCAAGCCUGAUCCAGCCAUGCCGCGUGGGUGAAGAAGGCCUUCGGGUUGUAAAGCCCUUUUGUUGGGAAAGAAAAGCAACCGGUUAAUACCCGGUUGUCAUGACGGUACCCAAAGAAUAAGCACCGGCUAACUUCGUGCCAGCAGCCGCGGUAA